rnacentral:rRNA from 1 species
GAUGAACGCUAGCGGCAGGCCUAAUACAUGCAAGUCGAACGGGGUCAGGGAGCUUGCUCCCUGUGAGAGUGGCGCACGGGUGCGUAACACGUAUGUAACCUACCUUCAACUGGGGGAUAGCCUUCCGAAAGGAAGAUUAAUACCGCAUAACAUAAUUGAAUGGCAUCAUUUGAUUAUCAAACGUCAGGGUUGAAGAUGGGCAUGCGUCCGAUUAGCUAGUUGGUGUGGUAACGGCACACCAAGGCGACGAUCGGUAGGGGAUCUGAGAGGAUGACCCCCCACACUGGUACUGAGACACGGACCAGACUCCUACGGGAGGCAGCAGUAAGGAAUAUUGGUCAAUGGACGCAAGUCUGAACCAGCCAUGCCGCGUGCAGGAAGACGGUCCUCUGGAUUGUAAACUGCUUUUGUUAGGGAAGAAACCCUCGGAUGCGUCCGGGGCUGACGGUACCUAAAGAAUAAGGAUCGGCUAACUCCGUGCCAGCAGCCGCCGUAACAC